rnacentral:rRNA from 1 species
UGACGUCAAGUCAUCAUGCCCUUUAUGACCUGGGCUACACACGUGCUACAAUGGAUGGUACAGAGAGCAGCGAGACCGCGAGGUGGAGCGAAUCUCAAAAAGACCAUUCUCAGUUCGGAUUGGAGUCUGCAACUCGACUCCAUGAAGUCGGAAUCGCUAGUAAUCGCGAAUCAGCAUGUCGCGGUGAAUGCGUUCCCGGGCCUU